GACAGAGGGUGCUAGCGUUGUUCGGAAUUACUGGGCGUAAAGGGCGCGUAGGCGGUCCGCUAAGUUCGGCGUGAAAUCCCCUGGCUCAACUGGGGAACUGCGUCUGAUACUGGAUGGCUUGAGAUUGGGAGAGGGAUGCGGAAUUCCAGGUGUAGCGGUGAAAUGCGUAGAUAUCUGGAGGAACACCGGUGGCGAAGGCGGCAUCCUGGACCAACACUGACGCUGAGGGAGCGAAAGCCAGGGGAGCAAACGGG
rnacentral:rRNA from 1 species